AGAUUAGAGAUGAGGACCUAACUCCAAAGAGUAACUCUUUGCUGAAGUGACUUCACAGAGGGAAGUAAGCAGUAAUUCAACUCAGCCUUAGAUAGAAAGCUUUUCUAUGAAUAAUGGGAAAUAAAGUUAAAGGAAAUGAUGCAAAUAAAGCAAGAAAAAAAUACUGAUGAUCAGAAAAAAGAAAAGUAUUUGAGGUCUGAAAGAUCCUCAAAAUAGAGAAGAGCCAAUGACUUCAUACACCGAAUCGGCUAAAUCCUGUCUCACAUUUUCACUGUAGCCAGAAGAGCCACUCUGGUCAAGUAGAAACCCUGAAGUUUGCCGUCAUUUCAUCCAGGGUCUGCAGAUGUGCACUUAGAGUAUCUAUUCUGAAUGCUUGAUGCUAUGCAGUGUUUGUGCUACAAAGAAGCUGAAGAUACAUGCUCUUUCUGUCAUCAACCUGUCCUAUGGCUGUGGU
rnacentral:lncRNA from 1 species